rnacentral:misc_RNA from 1 species
AAGGAGCACCACGAAAAGCACCCCAACUGGUGGGGUGCGAGCCGUGAGGGGUUCCCGUCUGUAGUGGACGGGGGCCGGGUGCGCAACAGCAAAUGAUUGCCAGACACACUAUUGGGCCCUGAGACAACACUCGGUCCGUCCGUGUGGAGUCCCUCCAUCUUGGUGGUGGGGUGUGGUGUUUGAGUAUUGGAUAGUGGUUGCGAGCAUCUAGAUGAGCGCAUGGUCUUUAUGGCCGGCGUUCAUCGAAAUGUGUAAUUUCUUUUUUUAACUCUUGUGUGU